GAUGAACGCUAGCGGGAGGCUUAACACAUGCAAGUCGAGGGGCAUCACGAGGUAGCAAUACUUUGGUGGCGACCGGCGCACGGGUGAGUAACACGUAUGCAACCUUCCCUGUACAGGGGGAUAACCCGGAGAAAUUCGGACUAAUACCCCAUGAUGAUAUUUAUGGGCAUCCAUUAAUAUUUAAAGCUCUGGCGGUACAGGAUGGGCAUGCGCGACAUUAGCUAGUUGGUAAGGUAACGGCUUACCAAGGCCACGAUGUUUAGGGGACCUGAGAGGGUUGUCCCCCACACUGGUACUGAGACACGGACCAGACUCCUACGGGAGGCAGCAGUGAGGAAUAUUGGUCAAUGGGCGCAAGCCUGAACCAGCCAUCCCGCGUGAAGGAAGAAUGCACUACGCGUUGUAAACUUCUUUUCCAGGGGGAGAAUAAUCCUGUCGUGACAGGACUUGACGGUACUCUGGGAAUAAGCAUCGGCUAACUCCGUGCCAGCAGCCGCGGUAAU
rnacentral:rRNA from 1 species